GCUGCCCUCCCCCCCGUGUCUCCCCCACCCCAUCCCGCGAGCCCUGGAGACCCCGGCCGGCGCAGCCCCGCUAACUCCUUGCGUGUGUCUUGCUUUUCAGACAUCCCCCUGGACUUUGUGGACUUGCAGGAUGACUUAGGCGACCCUCCGUGUGUCGCAGCUGCGUGCCGCCUCGGCUGGUCUGGAGCAAGCUAAAUGUCCUGCCUGCGCUGACACCGCUGGUGGCCCAGGACUGAGAGUGCACCACGCCUUGGGAGACCGGUCCUCUGGGCGCGGACGUUUGUCACGUGUCCGCUGUGCUGCAGGCAUUAGCCUACAUGGCCCUCUUGCUGAACGCCCUCCCAAGCCUUGCUGUGGAGCAGAGGCAGCCUGCACAGGGCUCCUGUUUUGACCCUUUGAGAUGGAUUUGGAGACUGUGGUCCAGAUUGCAAUAGCAGGAGGGUAACUGCCUUCGUGGACAUUCCGGGCCAGGAUAACCUGCCGCCGCUCAGCCGCCUGGAGAAGUUUGCAUUCAGCGAGAGCAUCCUCACUCGCCACCACGAGUACACAUAACUAAGGCCUGACGCUGCCACCUGGACUGUCUGCACUUGGACCGCCACACGCUGGAGGCCACAGAGCGCCGUAUAGCUGAAGUCGUACAGCCUUGCACUGCGAGCCUACCUGCCUUUAUUGUGUGACAUCGCAACGUGACGUUGCCACGCUGGAGAACCGUGCAAGCCCACAGUGAGGGCCGAGCUGACGGAGCAGAGUCCCCCGUUGCCCUUCUGGUACGAGAAAGCAGAUCACAGUCUCCUGUGGCGUUCUCUGAGUCCCUUGUACCUGCCGUGGUACACUGCCUCACAGACCCAAACAAUCAGCCUGCAGCUCACUCCGAGGGCCGCGGUCAGAAGGAUCUUUGUGAAACGUGCAGGCCGGACACCUCGCGUCACACUACCUCUGUGGCCGUAGCCUCGGAGUCACCCUCUUGUAGCUGCUGUUGAUGGCCAUCUGUCUGCUCACUGCCGGGGCCCAUUGUGGUCUUCCUGCCUUUCUGCCACGGUGACGAGUUCCAUGCUUCAUCUCCCUUGAUAAGUUAGAAAAUCUAGCCAGGAAGCGCUCCUGAUUUUUCUGGAACAAGAUCUAAUUUCCCAGCAUGAUUUUGAAAACAAGGCUGUCUGAUUCUGCUGGAGCUGUCUGCACCUGAGUGAGGAUGAGCGUGGAGCCGAGGCCGUGAGUCUACCAAAAUUUCUUGAGCUCUGCUCAGAUGUCAUAUGGGCUGUGGAAGGCCUGUGCAGAGUGCUUCAUGGCUGUGUCCUUCAGCACCUCCACUGGGGCCCAUCGGACCUAGCUCUCUCCUCUCUUCAUCGGGCUUGUCAGUGACCCCUGCCAAUGGCUCAAGUUGAGGUUACCAGCUGCAGUGAGAGUGGCCCGGCUGGACUGUGCUGCUGAGCCUGAGCACAAGCCGACAGGAGGUCUAGAUGGAGUGUCUGCCUCAGCUCCCAGCCUGCCGCUGCCAUCAGAUGCCCCCACCAGCUUCAUCUUGGAACGCGCUCUCCUCUGCGACCAGGAUAUUACAGAGCACGCAUAUUUUAGAAAUGCUGGGAACCCUCAUCUUGAACGAGUUGAAGAGCCUGUCGGCUUUGCAGUCGGACCGGGACCAAGACGUUGCCUUUUUUGCCACCAAAGAGCCAAAGCAGCAGGAUGUCCUUGGCGCCACUGUCCUGAAGAAGCAGAGCUGACUUCCCCAAGAUGCCACUUGAAGGGGACUCACUUCACCAUAACCCGCAGAGGAAUUUUGAAACUUUCACGUCAGACCCUCAAGUCACCAUCUACCUGUCUGAAGCCCAGGCCACUGAGACCAGCAGAGGCUUCUUUUAGGUGGCCGAGCUGAUGCCGCUUUCCCUCCGAGCCUGCUCUGGAACAGUCCUGUAGGGAGGCUGGGGUGCAGGUUGCAACCAGCAGUCUGUCUUCUUUAGGAGACACUGCAUUGUCUAAAGUGCCCCUCGGAGCCAGACAUGGUAGCACUCGUCUGUAAUUCCAGCACUCAGGAUGCUGAGGCAGGAGGAUUGUGAGUUCAAGGCCAGCCUGGGCUACAUAGAGAAUUCCAGGCAUGCUGAACUACAUAAUAAGACCCUGUUUCAAAAAACAAAAACAAAAACCUCAUAAAAUAUAAGUAAAUAACGCCUCCCUUGCCAAUAAAGUGUCCACGAGAAGCUUGUAAGCCUUUAAUAGACCCACUUCCCUCAGGCUUUCCUACAUAGUAUAGUGUAAGAUGAUGUUUUAUUCUCAACUGAAGGAUUGUACAUAUGCAAAUAAAAUGAUGGGAAGAAAAUAUAGUACUGUAAUAUUGGCCUCCUGUCAGUGAGUUGAACAAAUGUCAUUUAAAUUUAUAUCCCACUUUAGAGUUGCUGUGAAUAUGAUCUGAUCUGUUUUCUUGUGAAAACUGUAAAACAAACCCAGUAAAGAGUGAUUUAUACCA